rnacentral:misc_RNA from 1 species
UUAGUUCCUUAUCUUAUUUGCUUUGUGAUAGAGUUGAAUCUAAGUCUAAAUUGAUAUGAUAAUAUAAUUUGUUACAAACUAUCUUCCAAUCUGUAUCAUGUUGCUUUUAAUAUUUCAUUAUCUGGAUGUAGAAAGAAAAGUGAUUUUUUUUCUUGUUAUCUUUCUUUUCUCUUUUAAAUAUCUACUCUACAUUUAGUUGAACAACAAGAACCAUAACACUGACUGUAAAUUAUCCUAUUCCAAUUACAGUCCAAACAAUUAACAAGCCAAUUACUCUAAUUCAUACAACAGACAAUCAGUUGGAAAAAUGCAAAACCCAUAUAUAAUUUCACAACCAAAUCCAAGUAUAAAUCCAAAUUAAUAUGAAAGCUAUUUACACACAAGCUAAGUAAAACAAACGCACACACACACAAAAAAAAAAAAA